rnacentral:snRNA from 1 species
UCGGCUCGUUCUUCCGGCCUCAAG